UUUAUGGAGAGUUUGAUCCUGGCUCAGGAUGAACGCUGGCGGCGUGCCUAAUACAUGCAAGUCGAGCGAACGGACGAGAAGCUUGCUUCUCUGAUGUUAGCGGCGGACGGGUGAGUAACACGUGGAUAACCUACCUAUAAGACUGGGAUAACUUCGGGAAACCGGAGCUAAUACCGGAUAAUAUUUUGAACCGCAUGGUUCAAAAGUGAAAGACGGUCUUGCUGUCACUUAUAGAUGGAUCCGCGCUGCAUUAGCUAGUUGGUAAGGUAACGGCUUACCAAGGCAACGAUGCAUAGCCGACCUGAGAGGGUGAUCGGCCACACUGGAACUGAGACACGGUCCAGACUCCUACGGGAGGCAGCAGUAGGGAAUCUUCCGCAAUGGGCGAAAGCCUGACGGAGCAACGCCGCGUGAGUGAUGAAGGUCUUCGGAUCGUAAAACUCUGUUAUUAGGGAAGAACAUAUGUGUAAGUAACUGUGCACAUCUUGACGGUACCUAAUCAGAAAGCCACGGCUAACUACGUGCCAGCAGCCGCGGUAAUACGUAGGUGGCAAGCGUUAUCCGGAAUUAUUGGGCGUAAAGCGCGCGUAGGCGGUUUUUUAAGUCUGAUGUGAAAGCCCACGGCUCAACCGUGGAGGGUCAUUGGAAACUGGAAAACUUGAGUGCAGAAGAGGAAAGUGGAAUUCCAUGUGUAGCGGUGAAAUGCGCAGAGAUAUGGAGGAACACCAGUGGCGAAGGCGACUUUCUGGUCUGUAACUGACGCUGAUGUGCGAAAGCGUGGGGAUCAAACAGGAUUAGAUACCCUGGUAGUCCACGCCGUAAACGAUGAGUGCUAAGUGUUAGGGGGUUUCCGCCCCUUAGUGC
rnacentral:rRNA from 1 species